AAUAAUAUGACAAAGUUCAUUAUUAAUCGCUAAGGAAUUAUCGUCAAAGUUUUGUAAAUUUACGAAAUCGAAUUAAAUUUCAAGCACGUUGGUUAAUAAAGAGUUGGGUUAAAGUACAAAUAAGUUCAUUGGGUUAAAGUGGAACCUUAACCAUUUUAAUGAUGUAAUCAACUUCCUCAAGAAGGAGUUGAUUUAUCAUCAUUCUCAUCUUCAUUGUUUUUGCUUAAGAAAGCAAAAAAACAAAACUCCAAACUUCAUUCCUUAGCCCUCAUGACCAAACCCCUCUCAUCAUCACCUAGGAGUACCAAUUCUUGAUGGAAAUUCAUGAUUCUUGGAGCAAAAUGAUCACAAGGCAAGGAGGAACCAAGGUGUGUAUGAUGGAUUAGAGUAAGGAUUUUAAAGAAAUUGACCAUCAAUUUUGGAGAAAGAUGGUUCGGCCAUGGAGUAGAGACAUCAAGCUAAGAUCGGACGAGCGACUAUCGAUAAGGCUCGAGGGAACAGAUCGAGAUGUCUUCGUGUUAUUUGAAGAAUUUGGAUAGCAAGUGGAAUAGUAUGAUAUGAUUUGGAGAGUCAAGCUUCCGAAGUUUUAAAUUCUCGGAAGUCAUUUGCACAAGAAGUUAAAGAAAGUUUUCAUUCUAGCGGUCCGCAGUAGUCUAGAUGUCUUUGUCUAUGUAUUUAUAUAGCGCAUUUUAACUCUGAUAUUUUUGUAAAAUGGGGUCACAUGUAUUUUGAUAUAUGAAAAAUGAUUCGAUUUGCGAAAAAUUUACACAGGAUUUUAGGCUUGCUACGGGUUUCGGAGCUACCACUCCCAUUCCCUAGCGCCGGUCGCGACUCAUAAAUUUGGGUCGUGACACUUAAUUAAAUAAUAGAUUUGU